AAGACCUGGAGAAUUAGGAAAUAGAAAAACAGCAUAAGAGGAUGUCAUAUCAGAAUGUAAUAUACUGACAGGCUUUCAGGAGAGUCAGUACAAGAAUACCAGCUACAAUAAGAUGAAAAAGUUGACAACAUGAAACGUAUCAACCCGUACAUUUAGAGGAGUCUUUUCAAUUCGUGAAUUAAGUGGAUGUAAGUAAUCAGUCCAGAGGAAAUACAGAGACACAGCUUGUGAAACACCCACAGGUAUUUAUACAGAUAUUUUUUAGACUUCUAAGACACAGAAUUGAUUCGUAUGUAGAAAUCCGCUGAGCGUUGUUAGUAAAUAAGUAGAAAAUGCUGCUGUGUGUAUUAUGAAACUAGAAACCACUAGUGUAAAACCAAUGACGGCAUCUCAGACAUGCCAGCUAACAUCAACAGUAACAACACAAAAAGUGCUUUUAAUAACAUGACAUUUACAGUGCCUGUCUGAAAACUGACUGCCGUUUAGUUUUGAUUCAGAGGAACUGGAAGUGCUUCUGUGCUGGGAAUCAGACCUAGCCAUCUUGCACUCAUUGUUAAAGGGUCAAAUGUGAGCUGCAUGGUCACAUGACUUAAAGUUGCGUUUUCUCUGUACUGAGGCCUCUUAACUUGCCCAUGGUUGUCUGAUUUGCUCUUUAAAAACGUUUUGGUGUGUUACAUUAACGCUACGUGAGCAGAGCCAGUGCUGAAUGAGGAGUGGCAGAAGUGAGCUCUGUGGUGGCACCAAUGUUGUCUUAACUACCGAUGGAGCUAUUUGGCUAGCACCCACUUAGCAACUUAGCACGACCAGGCUCAAAUUACGAGACAGAAGUAACACAUAAUGUAGGACAGCCAGAAACUACUGCAUAUAAGCAAAGACAUGGGUGCAGGUCCUACAGUACUACUCAGAUUGAAUGGCAGCCAUCGGACCCCAGGAUCAAACCAGCUGUUUAUCUGUCAUGUAAACUGGCCGACUGGGUGGUGGGCAUCAUCACCAUGGCCUAUUGGCAGGCUGGAUGCCAUGCGCCUACUGUGACAUCCCACUCUAUGCGGAAUGUGUCCCCAUCUUCACCCCUCCCAGUGUUAUGAGUGUGGCGGUCAUCUCCGAACAAUUUCCAGUGAGUCCUGAGGAUGAUCUGUUCCUCAGCACAUCAUGGCAUAUGUUAUCCAGGUGAUUCUGGUGUAGAUAUAACUGUGGUCCCGGAUAACUCCCAGGAUUCCUUGUCAUUCAGAACCGACAUUGACCCCACAUGAACUCAUAGUACCAAGGAAAGAUGGCUGUAUGACAGUGAUAUUUACAUUUGUGUGAUUUAUGAACAAUAAAACUACUGAACAUUAAUAA